AGUCAUACCGCGUGUAUGAAGAAGGCCUUCGGGUUGUAAAGUACUUUCAGCGGGGAGGAAGGGAGUAAAGUUAAUACCUUUGCUCAUUGACGUUACCCGCAGAAGAAGCACCGGCUAACUCCGUGCCAGCAGCCGCGGUAAU
rnacentral:rRNA from 1 species